rnacentral:rRNA from 1 species
UACGUAGGGGGCAAGCGUUGUUCGGAUUUACUGGGCGUAAAGGGCGCGUAGGCGGCCACCGCAAGUCAAUUGUGAAAUCUCCGGGCUUAACUCGGAACGGUCAACUGAUACUGCGGGGCUAGAGUGCGGAAGGGGCAACUGGAAUUCUCGGUGUAGCGGUGAAAUGCGUAGACAUCGAGAGGAACACCUGCGGCGAAGGCGGGUUGCUGGGCCGACACUGACGCUGAUGCGCGAAAGCCAGGGGAGCGAACGGG